CGGAUAUUAGCUUGCUAAUAUUGUCAGCUAAGUGGCGCACGGGUGAGUAAUAUAUAGUUAAUCUGCCCCAAAGAAGAGAAUAAUUGUUGGAAACGACUUGUAACGCUCUAUAUGCCUUUAUUACAUAAGUAAGCAAGGGAAACAUUUAUGGCUUUGGGAUGAGACUGUACGGUAUCAGCUAGUUGGUGAGGUAAUGGCUCACCAAGGCUAUGACAUCUAACUGGUUUGAGAGGAUGAUCAGUCACACUGGAACUGAGACACGGUCCAGACUCCUACGGGAGGCAGCAGUGGGGAAUAUUGCACAAUGGAGGAAACUCUGAUGCAGCAACGCCGCGUGGAGGAUGACACAUUUCGGUGCGUAAACUCCUUUUAUAUGAGAAGAUAAUGACGGUAUCAUAUGAAUAAGCACCGGCUAACUCCGUGCCAGCAGCCGCGGUAAUACGGGGGGUGCAAGCGUUACUCGGAAUCACUGGGCGUAAAGAGCAUGUAGGCUGGUUUGUAAGUUGGAAGUGAAAUCCUAUGGCUUAACCAUAGAACUGCUUCCAAAACUGCAGACCUAGAAUAUGGGAGAGGUAGAUGGAAUUUCUGGUGUAGGGGUAAAAUCCGUA
rnacentral:rRNA from 1 species